ACCCAAUAGAUACCCAGGUAGUCCCAGCUGUAAACGAUGCAGGCUAGGUGUUUGGACGGCCACGUGCCGUUCUAGUGCCGCAGGGAAGCUGUUAAGCCUGCCGCCUGGGGAGUACGAUCGCAAGAUUGAAACUUAAAGGAAUUGGCGGGGGAGCACCACAAGGGGUGAAGCUUGCGGUUUAAUUGGAGUCAACGCCGGAAAUCUCACCGGGAGCGACAGCAGUGUGAAGGCCAGAUUAAAGGUCUUGCCAGACGAGCUGAGAGGAGGUGCAUGGCCGUCGCCAGUUCGUGCCGUGAGGUGUCCUGUUAAGUCAGGCGACGAUCGAGACCCGCGUCCUCUGUUGCUACUAGCCUUGUGCUGGGCACACUGAGGAGACCGCCACUGAUAAAGUGGAGGAAGGAGCGGGCCACGGCAGGUCAGUAUGCCCCGAAUCUCCCGGGCCACACGCGAGCUGCAAUGGCAGGUACAAUGGUUCCGACCUCGAAAGGGGUAGGCAAUCUCGAAAGCCUGCCGUAGUUGGGAUCGAA
rnacentral:rRNA from 1 species